GUUUUGGUCCUAAACUUGCCAUUGUUUUUAAUCAAAAUUACACAUGCAAGCUUCAACAAACCAGUGAGAAUGCCCACACUACCCCAAACAGCCUACAGGAGCAGGCAUCAGGAUCACAAAAACAUAUUAGCCCAUAACGCCUUGCUACGCCACACCCACACGGGUACUCAGCAGUGAUUAAUAUUAAGCCAUGAGUGAAAACUCGACUUAGUUAUGAUUAGACUUGGUCGGUAAAUUUCGUGCCAGCCACCGCGGUUAUACGAAAGACCAAAAACAAUGGCCCCCGGCGUAAAGAGUGAUAAAGAGAACAUCAUAUACUUUAAAGAAAAACCACUUCAAAGUCGUAAAACACCUUGAUAGCGGGAUCUUCAACAACAAAGUGUCUUUAAAUAAUACUGACCCCUCACCUUCACGAAAGCUAAGAAACAAACUAGGAUUAGAUACCCUACUAUGCUUAGCCCUUAACAUAGGCAGCACCCACACAAUACUGCCCGCCCGAGAACUACAAGUGAAAAACUCAAAACUCUAAGGACUUGGCGGUGCUCCAUACCGUCCUAGAGGAGCCUGUCCUAUAAUCGAUACUCCACGUUAAACCUAACCAUUUUUUGCACCCUCAGCCUAUAUACCGCCGUCGUCAGCCUACCUUAUGAAAGAAGCAAAGUAGGCAAAAUAGUUAACAACAAACACGUCAGGUCAAGGUGUAGCACAUAAAAUGGAAGAGAUGGGCUACAUUUUCUACCAUAGAAAAUUACAGAUCGCACAGUGAAACCUGUGCAAGAAGGUGGAUUUAGCUGUAAGACAAACAAGAAAGUUUGCCUAAACCCCGCCCUGGAGCGCGCACACACCGCCCGUCACCCUC
rnacentral:rRNA from 1 species